AUUGAACGCUGGCGGCAGGCCUAACACAUGCAAGUCGAGCGGUAGAGAGAAGCUUGCUUCUCUUGAGAGCGGCGGACGGGUGAGUAAUGCCUAGGAAUCUGCCUGGUAGUGGGGGAUAACGUUCGGAAACGAACGCUAAUACCGCAUACGUCCUACGGGAGAAAGCAGGGGACCUUCGGGCCUUGCGCUAUCAGAUGAGCCUAGGUCGGAUUAGCUAGUUGGUGAGGUAAUGGCUCACCAAGGCGACGAUCCGUAACUGGUCUGAGAGGAUGAUCAGUCACACUGGAACUGAGACACGGUCCAGACUCCUACGGGAGGCAGCAGUGGGGAAUAUUGGACAAUGGGCGAAAGCCUGAUCCAGCCAUGCCGCGUGUGUGAAGAAGGUCUUCGGAUUGUAAAGCACUUUAAGUUGGGAGGAAGGGCAGUUACCUAAUACGUAAUUGUUU
rnacentral:rRNA from 1 species